GAGACCAAAAUACGGAGAGCCUGACAAAGCAAAUUAACAAAAAUCCAUCACAAAAAUGAACGCUCUAAUACCUGCACCCGCUAAAGUGCCGAUAGCAUCAUCUGGAGAAAUGCGAGAAGGACCAGCAUGCACUUCCAAGUCGAUAUUGUUCCCAUGGCAACCAGUUUCAUCAGUCGUAUUCAUCACUAGUGCGUAUUCUUCUUCUAGGCGCAAAACCCACAUUUUCAAUUUCUCAAACUUCGUCUUCCAAAACUUGAGUUCGCUCUCAGCCUUCUCUUUCUUACCUUCCGCAUCGAGAUUUUUGCUCCUUAGUUUAACAAUAAUCCUCUUCUCCUCUUAUUUUACUUCUUUUGAAAUAUCCGACAACUUCUUACACCUCUUCUCGGCUUGAUGCUCUCUCUGACACGCGACCUUCUUUUCCUCAGUCAAACGAGCAUUCAUUUGCCUCUCGAAUGCCCAGAUUAGUAACCUCCAAGAACUUGCAUCUCAUCCUUCCAUCUCUUGAGCUCCUCUUGAAUGCCCAGAUUAGUAACCUCCAAGAACUUGCAUCUCUCCUCCGCAAUCUUCUUUCUCUGGUACGCAACUUCCUUAGCUUCGUUCAAGAGAGAAUUCGUUUUUCUCAAAUCUGAACACUCUUCAAGAGGAGCUCAACAAACUGAAAGAAGUGUGUUCGGAUUUGAGGAAAGUGAAUUUCCUCUUGAGCAACGCUAAGGAAGUUGCAUGCGAGAGAGAGAAGAUUGCGGAGGAGAGAUGCAAGUUUUUAGAGGUUGCUAAUUUGGGUAUUUAAGAGGAGCUAAAGAAAUGGAAGGAUGAGUGUCUAGUUUUGAGGCAAAU
rnacentral:lncRNA from 1 species